UACGUAGGGGGCAAGCGUUGUCCGGAUUUAUUGGGCGUAAAGAGCUCGUAGGCGGUUGGGCAAGUCACGUGUGAAAUCUCCACGCUCAACGUGGAGGCGCCACGUGAGACUGCCCUGACUCGAGUCCGGUAGGGGAGCGUGGAAUUCCCGGAUGUAGCGGUGAAAUGCGCGGAUAUCAGGAGGAACACCGAUGGCGAAGGCAGGUCUCUGGGCCACUACUGACGCUGAGAAGCGAAAGCAUGGGGAGCGAACAGG
rnacentral:rRNA from 1 species